UACGUAGGGUGCGAGCGUUAAUCGGAAUUACUGGGCGUAAAGCGUGCGCAGGCGGUGAUGUAAGACAGGUGUGAAAUCCCCAGGCUUAACCUGGGAACUGCAUCCGAUACUGGAUGGCUUGAAUCCGGGAGAGGGAUGCAGAAUUCCAGGUGUAGCGGUGAAAUGCGUAGAUAUCUGGAGGAACACCGGUGGCGAAGGCGGCAUCCUGGACCGACAUUGACGCUGAGGCGCGAAAGCCAGGGGAGCAAACGGG
rnacentral:rRNA from 1 species